rnacentral:rRNA from 1 species
UACGGGGGGGGCAAGCGUUGUUCGGAAUUACUGGGCGUAAAGGGCUCGUAGGCGGCCAACUAAGUCGGAUGUGAAAUCCCCAGGCUCAACCUGGGAACUGCAUCCGAUACUGGAUGGCUUGAAUCCGGGAGAGGGAUGCAGAAUUCCAGGUGUAGCGGUGAAAUGCGUAGAUAUCUGGAGGAACACCGGUGGCGAAGGCGGCAUCCUGGACCAACACUGACGCUGAGGAGCGAAAGCCAGGGGAGCAAACGGG